rnacentral:tRNA from 1 species
GGCUCCGUGGCUCAACUGGACAGAGCAGCCCCCUCCUAAGGGGCAGGUUAUUGGUUCGAAUCCAAUCGGGGUCACCA